AAUGCAUAAAAUCAUUGCAUUCAAUUAAUCAGUUCCUUCCAUGAUAUCACAUCUUGUGCCCAACUGAAUACAUUAUAGGAUUGGAUAAAAGAAAUGACAUUCUAUGUGAAAAGCAUUGAUUCAAAACAUAUAAUGGAGAUUGGACUGGAAGGAUUUUAUGGCCUCUCGACACCUCAGAGAUAUCAGUUAAACCCAAAUGCAUAUGCUCACCAGGUCGGAACAAAUUUUAUCAAGAACCACAUAUAUCCAUACUUUUGAACAAUUACAUCAACUUCAACUGGUGACUGAACAACUUCAUUUGGG
rnacentral:sRNA from 1 species